GAAUUUCAGAGACUCCACGGUCACAGUGCCAAACCCGUGAUGGCCAGUUGGUGAAGAUCUCUAUUGUCAAGAUGAAGGAGAUGAGGUAAAACUCAAAGAGAGAGCCGAGGCUGUGCAGCUGAAAGCUCCAGCAGUGACGAUGAAGAAACCGAGGACAGAGCAGCGCCAAGGGGAGGAGACAGAGAUCAGGAGGCUGAAAGGAGCCUGCAGGAGAGGUCCCUGGAUGAUGCUGAUGCUGAUGGUCCAUGCACACAGUCUGAGUAGCAAGAAACUAGAGCAUCUGAGCAUAAGAUUUGUGAUGUGGAGUGACAGGAUCCAGGUGUGAAGGUCGUCCAUGCCAUUCUGAGGAGUGUGGAGCUGAUCCUGUAGGAAACGUCUCUGGGGGGACUCCAUGUUUUUUUCUUUUCUUUCUGACAUUCUUCUUCUUCUUUGCUGAUGCUAAUAGAAGUGAACAUGCUGCUAAUUAUGGUGUUUGUGUAAGACCACAGUGGCCUGGAGAAGGAUCGCGUGCCCUGAGGGUAUGCUUGCAUCUAACGGGUAAUCAUCACUGUAUGAAGACUUCCAGGCUGGCAACGUUACAAGCAACAAGACACGGAAGAUCUUCUUUCAGACUCUGUCUGAUGGCAAACAUACAAAUCACGGGCCAAAAUGAUGAGAUCGAGAAAUGGAGAAAUCUGAGGAACAGAGAGGGGGGCCGAAGUUUUCAAGUUCACUCAGCAGAGCAACGUGGAGCUGCUAGAUUGCAGUUUGGAAAGUAAAGAUGUAUAAUGAACUGGAAAAGAAGAUGAGGUGGGAUGGGGAGCACAGAGGUUGAGGCAACAGUGGUUUCCACACGAGGCUAGAUGGCAGAUCACCAUGCUCCGGAUAUGUGGAACGGAAGCAGGGGUGUUUGGUAAGCUGACGUGAAGGGCAACUUGAUUCAGAAUUUGGAGAUUGCGGCCCCCACCUCAAGGCCCCAUCUGAGAAGAACUGGAUGCUCCAGUGGAGUUGCUGUGGUAGCCCCUGUUCAUUAAGCUGGUACUUAACACCUGGUCAAGGUUGAUCAAGGGGAGUAGGGCUUUAUGUGGCAGCUAAUUGGGUGCUAUAAGGAACAGACCCCCAAACUAUAGUGUCAGCAACUGUGCAUUGCAUAAUCAGCUGCUUCGAAUGCCCACUUGGGGAUUGGACCGUGGUAAGUGAGUGCCGUACGGAUCUGCGAGACAAGCAGCGUGUCAAUUACACUGUGGAUGGCCAGAUUUAUGUGCUUUUUGGCAGCGCUGCUGAGCUAUUAAUCUUGUCUCCUGCACAGGCCCCAUGUAAACCAGAGGCAAAUGGCACAUCUGGACCAUCCCAGCAAAAAAAGGUCACGUUUCCUCCUACAUCUUCUGCUGACGUCUAAGAUACGAAAAACGAGAAUGGAUACACAGAGAACCCUACCACUUGCCAUCAAGAAGGGGAGUCUAUUUCCUCUUACCUUGAGCUUGGAGGACCUUUGUGACUGCCUUGAUGG
rnacentral:lncRNA from 1 species